GGCGUGCUAAUACAUGCAAGUCGAACGCUUCUUUUUCCACCGGAGCUUGCUCCACCGGAAAAAGAGGAGUGGCGAACGGGUGAGUAACACGUGGGUAACCUGCCCAUCAGAAGGGGAUAACACUUGGAAACAGGUGCUAAUACCGUAUAACAAUCAAAACCGCAUGGUUUUGAUUUGAAAGGCGCUUUCGGGUGUCGCUGAUGGAUGGACCCGCGGUGCAUUAGCUAGUUGGUGAGGUAACGGCUCACCAAGGCCACGAUGCAUAGCCGACCUGAGAGGGUGAUCGGCCACAUUGGGACUGAGACACGGCCCAAACUCCUACGGGAGGCAGCAGUAGGGAAUCUUCGGCAAUGGACGAAAGUCUGACCGAGCAACGCCGCGUGAGUGAAGAAGGUUUUCGGAUCGUAAAACUCUGUUGUUAGAGAAGAACAAGGAUGAGAGUAACUGUUCAUCCCUUGACGGUAUCUAACCAGAAAGCCACGGCUAACUACGUGCCAGCAGCCGCGGUAAUACGUAGGUGGCAAGCGUUGUCCGGAUUUAUUGGGCGUAAAGCGAGCGCAGGCGGUUUCUUAAGUCUGAUGUGAAAGCCCCCGGCUCAACCGGGGAGGGUCAUUGGAAACUGGGAGACUUGAGUGCAGAAGAGGAGAGUGGAAUUCCAUGUGUAGCGGUGAAAUGCGUAGAUAUAUGGAGGAACACCAGUGGCGAAGGCGGCUCUCUGGUCUGUAACUGACGCUGAGGCUC
rnacentral:rRNA from 1 species